rnacentral:rRNA from 1 species
ACCUCGGAUCAGGUAGGAAUACCCGCUGAACUUAAGCAUAUCAAUAAGCGGAGGAAAAGAAACCAACAGGGAUUGCCCUAGUAACGGCGAGUGAAGCGGCAACAGCUCAAAUUUGAAAUCUGGCCUUCGGGUCCGAGUUGUAAUUUGUAGAGGAUGCUUUUGGUGAGGUACCUUCCGAGUUCCCUGGAACGGGACGCCAUAGAGGGUGAGAGCCCCGUCUGGUUGGAUACCGAUCCUCUGUAAAGCUCCUUCGACGAGUCGAGUAGUUUGGGAAUGCUGCUCUAAAUGGGAGGUAUAUGUCUUCUAAAGCUAAAUAUUGGCCAGAGACCGAUAGCGCACAAGUAGAGUGAUCGAAAGAUGAAAAGCACUUUGAAAAGAGAGUUAAAAAGUACGUGAAAUUGUUGAAAGGGAAGCGCUCAUGACCAGACUUGGGCUUGGUUGAUCAUCCAGGGUUCUCCCUGGUGCACUCUUCCAGCCCAGGCCAGCAUCAGUUCGCUGUGGGGGAUAAAGGCUUCGGGAAUGUGGCUCNNCCGGGAGUGUUAUAGCCCGUUGCGUAAUACCCUGUGGUNGAC